rnacentral:rRNA from 1 species
UUAAUCGGGGCAGGGUGAGUCGACCCCUAAGGCGAGGCCGAAAGGCGUAGUCGAUGGGAAACAGGUUAAUAUUCCUGUACUUGGUGUUACUGCGAAGGGGGGACGGAGAAGGCUAUGUUGGCCGGGCGACGGUUGUCCCGGUUUAAGCGUGUAGGCUGGUUUUCCAGGCAAAUCCGGAAAAUCAAGGCUGAGGCGUGAUGACGAGGCACUACGGUGCUGAAGCAACAAAUGCCCUGCUUCCAGGAAAAGCCUCUAAGCAUCAGGUAACAUCAAAUCGUACCCCAAACCGACACAGGUGGUCAGGUAGAGAAUACCAAGGCGCUUGAGAGAACUCGGGUGAAGGAACUAGGCAAAAUGGUGCCGUAACUUCGGGAGAAGGCACGCUGAUAUGUAGGUGAAGUCCCUUGCGGAUGGAGCUGAAAUCAGUCGAAGAUACCAGCUGGCUGCAACUGUUUAUUAAAAACACAGCACUGUGCAAACACGAAAGUGGACGUAUACGGUGUGACGCCUGCCCGGUGCCGGAAGGUUAAUUGAUGGGGUCAGCGCAAGCGAAGCUCUUGAUCGAAGCCCCGGUAAACGGCGGCCGUAACUAUAACGGUCCUAAGGUAGCGAAAUUCCUUGUCGGGUAAGUUCCGACCUGCACGAAUGGCGUAAUGAUGGCCAGGCUGUCUCCACCCGAGACUCAGUGAAAUUGAACUCGCUGUGAAGAUGCAGUGUACCCGCGGCAAGACGGAAAGACCCCGUGAACCUUUACUAUAGCUUGACACUGAACAUUGAGCCUUGAUGUGUAGGAUAGGUGGGAGGCUUUGAAGUGUGGACGCCAGUCUGCAUGGAGCCGGCCUUGAAAUACCACCCUUUAAUGUUUGAUGUUCUAACGUGGACCCGUGAUCCGGGUUGCGGACAGUGUCUGGUGGGUAGUUUGACUGGGGCGGUCUCCUCCUAAAGAGUAACGGAGGAGCACGAAGGUUGGCUAAUCCUGGUCGGACAUCAGGAGGUUAGUGCAAUGGCAUAAGCCAGCUUGACUGCGAGCGUGACGGCGCGAGCAGGUGCGAAAGCAGGUCAUAGUGAUCCGGUGGUUCUGAAUGGAAGGGCCAUCGCUCAACGGAUAAAAGGUACUCCGGGGAUAACAGGCUGAUACCGCCCAAGAGUUCAUAUCGACGGCGGUGUUUGGCACCUCGAUGUCGGCUCAUCACAUCCUGGGGCUGAAGUAGGUCCCAAGGGUAUGGCUGUUCGCCAUUUAAAGUGGUACGCGAGCUGGGUUUAGAACGUCGUGAGACAGUUCGGUCCCUAUCUGCCGUGGGCGCUGGAGAACUGAGGGGGGCUGCUCCUAGUACGAGAGGACCGGAGUGGACGCAUCACUGGUGUUCGGGUUGUCAUGCCAAUGGCACUGCCCGGUAGCUAAAUGCGGAAGAGAUAAGUGCUGAAAGCAUCUAAGCACGAAACUUGCCCCGAGAUGAGUUCUCCCUGACCCUUUAAGGGUCCUGAAGGAACGUUGAAGACGACGACGUUGAUAGGCCGGGUGUGUAAGCGCAGCGAUGCGUUGAGCUAACCGGUACUAAUGAACCGUGAGG